GAUGAACGCUGGCGGCGUGCCUAAUACAUGCAAGUCGAGCGAACGGACGAGAAGCUUGCUUCUCUGAUGUUAGCGGCGGACGGGUGAGUAACACGUGGAUAACCUACCUAUAAGACUGGGAUAACUUCGGGAAACCGGAGCUAAUACCGGAUAAUAUUUUGAACCGCAUGGUUCAAAAGUGAAAGACGGUCUUGCUGUCACUUAUAGAUGGAUCCGCGCUGCAUUAGCUAGUUGGUAAGGUAACGGCUUACCAAGGCAACGAUGCAUAGCCGACCUGAGAGGGUGAUCGGCCACACUGGAACUGAGACACGGUCCAGACUCCUACGGGAGGCAGCAGUAGGGAAUCUUACGCAAUGGGCGAAAGCCUGACGGAGCAAAGCCGCGUGAGUGAUGAAGGUCUUCGGAUCGUAAAACUCUGUUAUUAGGGAAGAACAUAUGUGUAAGUAACUGUGCACAUCUUGACGGUACCUAAUCAGAAAGCCACGGCUAACUACGUG
rnacentral:rRNA from 1 species